AGCGCGCGUGCUGAUCCAGCCGCCCGUCUUCUUGUUUUCGAAACCCCACUUCAUUAGAGAUUGAGUUUGAAACCUUCAUUUACAUCUAGUAUUUUAGUACUUGUCCUACUUGUUCUUGCUGGUUCUUCGAUUGCUUGCAGGACGAGUGCCCUAGUGGCCGGGUGUUGCGCUCCACAAGAUCGUGACAGCCAUUGGAGGCGGUGUAUCGGUUGCUAAGGCACGGCCUUAGAAGGCUGUAGUCGGGCCGUGAACGUCAUCUCCAUUCACUAAUCGAGUUACCCAGCGCCUCUCAUCGAAAGAUCAGGCCAAAAACCCUAGCGGGUUCGCAUC
rnacentral:lncRNA from 1 species